rnacentral:rRNA from 1 species
CCUACGGGAGGCUGCAGUGAGGAAUAUUGGUCAAUGGGCGGAAGCCUGAACCAGCCAAGUAGCGUGCGGGAUGAAGGCCCUACGGGUCGUAAACUGCUUUUGCACGGGGAUAACACCCUCCACUUGUGGAGGUCUGCAGGUACCGUGCGAAUAAGGGCCGGCUAAUUCCGUGCCAGCAGCCGCGGUAAUACGGAAGGUCCGAGCGUUAUCCGGAUUCAUUGGGCUUAAAGGGUGCGUAGGCGGGCGUUCAAGUCAGCUGUAAAAGCGCGCGGCUCAACCGCGCCCCGCAGUUGAAACUGGACGCCUUGAGUUCACAACAGGCAGGCGGAAGUCGUGGUGUAGCGGUGAAAUGCAUAGAUAUCACGAGGAACCCCGAUUGCGAAGGCAGCCUGCCGGGGUGCGACUGACGCUGAGGCUCGAAGGUGCGGGUAGCAAACAGGAUUAGAUACCCGUGUAGUC